rnacentral:rRNA from 1 species
GACGAACCGUGCGAACGUUGUUCGGAAUCACUGGGCUUAAAGGGCGCGUAGGCGGGCCAUCAAGUCCGGGGUGAAAUCUUUCGGCUCAACCGGAAAAGUGCCUUGGAUACUGGUGGUCUUGAGUGAGGUAGGGGCAUGUGGAACUUCCGGUGGAGCGGUGAAAUGCGUGAUAUCGGAAGGAACUCCGGUGGCGAAAGCGACGUGCUGGACCUCUUCUGACGCUGAGGCGCGAAAGCUAGGGGAGCGAACGGG